ACGAAUACUCUUUACACCCCACCUCCACCGCAAAAACCCGCAAAAUCAUCGAACACCACACAAACACAACCAUAAUGUGCCAUCGCUACAUUGCACCCACAUCAUACCACUAUCCCAUUACAAAAAAAAUAAAAUAAAAUAAAAUAAAAUCGACCACAAUAACCUACGACUCCUUCGGCCAUGAAACAAAUCAAAAUCAGAAAAAAAAAAAAAAAUUGUUGUAGAGGAGCGAGAGCGCUCUCGCCAGAAGAGCAACAAAGGAGGAGCGUCAACUCACUCAUAUCAUUGCCACAUCCAAUCGAGUGAUGCUAUAUCCUGUAACAGUCGAGCAAUGCCAUGGGCGUUUUCCCAAGCGAGCCGUGUUACGGUCCACUUUUGAACGGUAGUGGUGCGAGAUGCUGGGCCUUCGGGAAAAGUGAGGGGGAAGAGAGAGAAUAGAUUAAAUUGUUUUAGG
rnacentral:lncRNA from 1 species